CUACGUGCCAGCAGCCGCGGUAAUACGUAGGGUGCGAGCGUUAAUCGGAAUUACUGGGCGUAAAGCGAGCGCAGACGGUUACUUAAGCAGGAUGUGAAAUCCCCGGGCUUAACCUGGGAACUGCGUUCUGAACUGGGUGACUAGAGUGUGUCAGAGGGAGGUAGAAUUCCACGUGUAGCAGUGAAAUGCGUAGAGAUGUGGAGGAAUACCGAUGGCGAAGGCAGCCUCCUGGGAUAACACUGACGUUCAUGCUCGAAAGCGUGGGUAGCAAACAGGAUUAGAUACCCUGGUAGUCCUAGCCGUAAACGAUGGACACUAGGUGUGGGGGAAUAUUUCUUCCGUGCCGCAGCUAACGCAUUAAGUGUCCCGCCUGGGGAGUACGGCCGCAAGGCUAAAACUCAAAGGAAUUGACGGGGGCCCGCACAAGCAGCGGAGCAUGUGGUUUAAUUCGAAGCAACGCGAAGAACCUUACCAGGGCU
rnacentral:rRNA from 1 species